CCUACGGGUGGCAGCAGUGAGGAAUAUUGGUCAAUGGACGCGAGUCUGAACCAGCCAAGUCGCGUGAAGGAUGACUGCCCUAUGGGUUGUAAAUUUCUUUUAUAUGGGAAUAAAAUGUUCCACGUGUGGGAUUUUGUAUGUACCAUAUGAAUAAGGAUCGGCUAACUCCGUGCCAGCAGCCGCGGUAAUACGGAGGAUCCGAGCGUUAUCCGGAUUGAUUGGGUUUAAAGGGAGCGUAGGUGGAUUGUUAAGUCAGUUGUGAAAGUUUGCGGCUCAACCGUAAAAUUGCAGUUGAGACUGGCAGGCUUGAGUACAGUAGAGGUGGGCGGAAUUCGUGGUGUAGCGGUGAAAUGCUUAGAUAUCACGAAGAACUCCGAUUGCGAAGGCAGCUCACUGGACUGCAACUGACACUGAGGCUCGAAAGUGUGGGUAGCAAACAGGAUUAGAUACCCCUGUAGUC
rnacentral:rRNA from 1 species